rnacentral:tRNA from 1 species
GGGAAGGUGGCUCAUUGGUAGAGUACUUGCCUUGCAUGCCUGAGGCCCUGGGUUCGAUUCCUCAGCCCCA